UACGUAGGGGGCAAGCGUUGUCCGGAUUUAUUGGGCGUAAAGAGCGUGUAGGCGGCUUGGUAGGUCCGCUGUGAAAACUCGAGGCUCAACCUCGAGACGCCGGUGGAAACCAUCAGGCUAGAGUCCGGAAGAGGAGAGUGGAAUUCCUGGUGUAGCGGUGAAAUGCGCAGAUAUCAGGAAGAACACCCGUGGCUAAGGCGGCUCCCUAGUACGGUACUGACGCUGAGACGCGAAAGCGUGGGGAGCGAACAGG
rnacentral:rRNA from 1 species